UCACAAUAGGCUAGCCCCAACAUGUUUUAGCUGUGAAACUCAGGUGAACAAUCAAAGGCAGUUAUUGCCCUUUUGUUUCAUAUGUUGCAAAAAGAAUGGUUAUGCUUGUAUUUAUUUUACUUCUUGAACUUGUUUUCACAGGGAGUCGUGCACCAUGUAAACAGUGAUGUUGAAAAGUUCUGAUGAGCCUGCUAUCUUACAGUCGAGGCAAGUCAAAAAGAGCGAACAGGAGUUAGAAAUUUUGUCUGACAUGGACUUACCUACUAUAAUAUGUGUGGCAAGAAAUUUGAAAGCAAAGUCACAAGAAGUUGUUUGAUGAUGGAAGUAUCUGUGAUCAUUUAGUAUUUCCAGUGGUUCAGAGGAACAGAUUACACUCAGUUAAAACUAAAUGUGAUAUUUAUCUAUUUGUGAAUGAACGAGGACUUAAUGAGGAUAAAAUGUUAAGAAGACAAACCUGAUGCAGCAACAAUUUUGUGACAGUAUCAGUGUAAUAUUUAACCAUAUACAACUGUUUUUCAUUAUAAAUGCAGUAAAAGGUAAUACAAUGUUAAAACUGCUUUACACUUUCUAUGCGAGGGAAUAUGUUGUAUAUGGUCACUAUAGAGGUUUUUCCAUUUGACGAGAUAAUAUUGUGGGUAACCGGUGAAGAAUAUAUUGACCAAAUCUGUCAUGUUGACCAUAAUGUUCCAUGCAACCUUUAUUGUACAAAAAGUAGAUUUGUUAUAGCACCAAAUAAUAGUGAGAUUGGAAGGCCAGUGUGCAAACCACUGAGCUAUCCGCCCACCACCAUUAGAUAUAUUAAGGGAAAAAUCGUCAUCUCGGCGCAAAAACUGUAUGCAUGUUUGUACUUCUUUACUUCAAUGGGCCCACAUUUGGCGCUGAGGUGACAUUAUAAUUCCAAAAAAAAACUAAUACCUCCUCAUCGGUAACACUACUUAUUUACGUGGCUUACAGUUAAGCAUGAUAAAAAAUAUGGAAUAAAAAUCUUGAUAAAAUU